rnacentral:pre_miRNA from 2 species
UCUUAUAGAUGAGCAAAAAAAGUGGUUUCCUAAGAUGGAAUGUACUCCCGGUGAAGAUGCUGUGAA